CGGGACGGGUGAGUAACGCGUGGGUAACCUGCCUCAUACAGGGGGAGUAACAGUUAGAAAUGACUGCUAAUACCGCAUAAGCGCACGAGAUCGCAUGAUAAAGUGUGAAAAACUACCGGUGGUAUGAGAUGGACCCGCGUCUGAUUAGCUGGUUGGUGGGGUAACGGCCCACCAAGGCGACGAUCAGUAGCCGACCUGAGAGGGUGACCGGCCACAUUGGGACUGAGACACGGCCCAAACUCCUACGGAAGGCAGCAG
rnacentral:rRNA from 1 species